UACGAAGGGGGCUAGCGUUGUUCGGAUUUACUGGGCGUAAAGCGCACGUAGGCGGAUCGUUAAGUCGGGGGUGAAAUCCUGGGGCUCAACCCCAGAACUGCCUUCGAUACUGGCGAUCUAGAGUCCGGAAGAGGUGAGUGGAACUCCUAGUGUAGAGGUGGAAUUCGUAGAUAUUAGGAAGAACACCAGUGGCGAAGGCGGCUCACUGGUCCGGUACUGACGCUGAGACGCGAAAGCGUGGGGAGCAAACAGG
rnacentral:rRNA from 1 species